rnacentral:rRNA from 1 species
AGAGUUUGAUCCUGGGCUCACGAGACGAACGCUGGACGGCCGUGCUUAACACAUGCAAGUCACGGGGCCCGCGAGGNGUCACCGGCGAACGGGUGCCGUAACACGUGAGCGACCCUGCCUUCGAAGAGAGGUGGAUAGCCGGCCCAAACGGCCGGGUAAUACCGCAUACGACUGUCGAGGGAGGCAUCCCCCGGGAGUGAAACCUUUCGGGCUCGGAGAGAGGGCUCGCGGNCUAUCAGCUAGUUGGUGCGGUAACGGCGCACCAAGGCGAUGACGGGUAGCUGGUCUGAGAGGAUGGCCAGCCACAUUGGGACUGAGAGACGGCCCAGACUCCUACGGGAGGCAGCAGUGGGGAAUCUUGCGCAAUGGCCGAAAGGCUGACGCAGCGACGCCGCGUGAGGGAUGACGUGCCUUCGGGUUGUAAACCUCUGUUGCCCGGGACGAACAGCCCGCAUCGGCCGGGCCUGACGGAUACCGGGUGAGGAAGCACCGGCUAACAUCUGUGCCUAGCAGCCGCGGUAAUACAGAGGGUGCUGAGCUUUGUCCGGAAUCACUGGGCCGUAAANUGGAGANUAGGCGGGCCCUUUAACGGGCGGUGAAACCCGGGUUCAACCCCGGGUCGGCCGUGCGGAUGGGGGGUAGAAGACGUAGAGGCACGGCGGAAUUUCCGGGUUGUUNGCGGUUGAAAUGCGUAAGAAGAUUCCGAAAGAACACCGGUGGCGGAAAGCGGCNCUGUGGGACUUGCUGAACGUUGAGGGCGCGACAGCGUGGGGAGCAAAACAGGAUUAGAUACCCCUGGUAGUCCACCCGUAAAACGAUGGGCACUAGGUGCUUGGGGGAGGCGACCCCCCGGGUGCCCGGCGCUAACGCAUUAAGUGCCCCGCCUGGGGAGUACGGCCGCAAGGCUGAAACUCAAAGGAAUUGACGGGGGCCCGCACAAGCGGUGGAGCAUGUGGUUUAAUUCGACGCAACGCGAAGAACCUUACCUGGGCUUGACAUGGCCGGGAAACCCCUGGGAAACCAGGGGCCUCCUUCGGGACCCGGUCACAGGUGCUGCAUGGCUGUCGUCAGCUCGUGUCGUGAGAUGUUGGGUUAAGUCCCGCAACGAGCGCAACCCUCGUCUCUAGUUGCCAGCGCGUCAUGGCGGGGACUCUAGAGAGACUGCCGGUGCCAAACCGGAGGAAGGUGGGGACGACGUCAAGUCAUCAUGGUCCUUACGCCCAGGGCCACACACGUGCUACAAUGGCGCCUACAGAGGGGCGCGAGCCGGCAACGGCGAGCCAAUCCCCAAAGGGCGCCUCAGUUCGGAUUGUCCUCUGCAACCCGAGGGCAUGAAGCUGGAAUCGCUAGUAAUCGUGGAUCAGCCACGCCACGGUGAAUACGUUCCCGGGCCUUGUACACACCGCCCGUCACGCCAUGGAAGCUGUGAGCGCCCGAAGUCCGUCGCGCAACCCUGGCAACAGGGGGCAGACGGCCGAAGGCGAGCGCAGUGACUGGGGCGAAGUCGUACAAGGUAGCCGUAGGGGAACCUGCGGCUGGAUCACCUCCUU